UUGGUAAAGGGCCUUUAUUGGGGGAAAGGUUAAAAUUGGUUUUUGGGGAAAUAAAAGUUGAACAAGGUUUUCGUAGGGGAACCUGGGAAGGGUCCUUUUUGAAUUAAACCCGGGUGGGGUGUUGGCCUUUAGAGGCAAGGGCCCCCGCCCUUGUUUUUAACCCCCGUUUUGGAUCCGGGCCGGGGGGUCCAAACCCUGGUUUGGGGGAGGGU
rnacentral:rRNA from 1 species